rnacentral:lncRNA from 1 species
AAUACUUUUUUAAUGUUGCUUAAAUGAAGAAAGAUAUGUUAAACAUCCAAAACUCCACCUGAUAACUAUUGAGACACUGGUCAAUAUGUCGCUCAAUCCAAGUCGACCGUCUUCAUCAGAGUUGGUGGAACUUCAUGUUUUUUAUGUCCCUGAAGGAUCGUGGAACUAUAAAUUAAAUACUAUUUCAAUAGAAGUUAUUAACAACUUUAUUUCUGCUGGAUUUAUAAGAGUGUCUCCUCAACUUACUUUACAAGCUCUGAGGGAGCGUCUUGGUGAGUUUCUUGGUGUAGAUGCUGUUGCAGAAAAAUUUUUAUUUCUGAAAUGCAUUGGAAAUAAUUUAGCUGUGGUAAAGGAAAAGCAAGAAUCAGAAUUGAAACUCAAGUCAUUUGCUCCUCCAUAUGCACUUCAACCAGAAUUAUAUUUGCUUCCUGUAAUAGAUCACUUAGGAAAUGUUUAUUCAGCGUCGACAGUUAAUUUAGACGAACAGCAGAGUGUUGAUGAUACUAUGGAGAUUGACGGAACAAUCCACAGACCAGAUAGUUUGUCUUUGUCAAAGGAUGAACCUGGAGAUCCAAGUUUGUUGGAAAAUACAUGGAGAGACUUUCCAAAUCACGAAGAAGGUGAUUUCAACUAAAAUGGGAAAAACAAGAGUUCCUUAUAAUAAAUUUGAGCUAUCAAGCCG